UGGCACCUCUUCAGGAAUUAAUUGAGAAGCUUGGAUCGAAAGACAGAUAAAUUUUUCUUCUAGAACAGUUACCCUCUUGCUUCAUCUACUGCUAAAGCUAUCUCGUUGCUUUCUGUUAUAGACUAGUGAUACAAACUUUAAGAAAACAAGAUAAAAAGACACCUAUUGUCUGUGUCUACUGAUAAAAUUGUCCCAAAGAGUUGCUGGACCGCUCCCUGCAGAAGAACCGGGAAGAGUAAGGCCAGGAACACACGUGGAAGAAGAAGAAAGAGAUGAUAAAGUAAAGCCUGGUCACCUCCAGGUUCUGAGAGAAAUAAAGUUUCCAGAAAUUAUGUUCCUGCAAUAAGAAAUAAAGAUGUGACCUUC
rnacentral:lncRNA from 1 species